rnacentral:lncRNA from 1 species
AAGAGUAGAGGCCUUCUACAAGGUCAGCCAAAGAUCACAUAUAGUCUUUGGCAUUGCAGCCUUAGCCAAAGCAAAAGUCAAAGCCUUUGGCUUUGUAGAAUUUAAAAAAAAAAAAACAAAGAGAGAGAGAGAAAGAGACACAGGGAGAGGGAGAGGGAGAGGGAGAAAGAGAAGGGAGGAAGAUGAGGGAGAGAGAGGCAAAAGGUGGGUAUGCGAGGGGAAAGGGCGCUGGCAGAGUGAGAAUGCAGAGGGUGCAGGUAUUUUUGUUUUUGUUUUUAUGGAUUUAAGUUUUAAAAUAUUUAAAAUAUAUUUUAUUUUAUUUAAAGUCACGUGGCUUUAUAUCAUUGGAAGUGUGGGUUCCACACACGUGCCACGUCAACAAUUUAACAGAAAUUUGACGGAGGCUAACGGCAUGGACCAUU